GCAGGAGUAAGGAAGUUCUUUCCCCAAAUUGCCAGGCCAGGGUGGCCAGAGCACAUCGACUAUAUUCAUGAUGGGCCGGGGAGUGGCGUGUGGCGAGCAGACACUCAGUAUCUGGCUUCAUCUGUGACACGCAGUGUUUGAGGUGAACAAGUGCAGCUAGCAGGCUGCGGCGGGGGGGGGGGCAAGGGGUGUGGCAGUCUGGGGUGCAGUCUGCAGAUGCUAGACGGAGCUGGCAUCCUCCUGGCCAGGGCUUUUGGUGUUCCACGCAAGGUCAGCAAUUGACAGUUCAGCUAUGGAGUAAGGAUGAAUCUUGUCAACAAUGAAUCCAAAGAACUGGCUUUGCUGCAUUUGGAGUUGUACACUACAUGCUUUUGUACUUGAGAAGCUGAAAAUCUACUUUGAAAGUGAAGAUACAGAUGCCCAAGUGUGCUAUGUCUGGAGCGUCAGAAGCCCGAGAGCGGAUCAUCCAAACCAGACACCGAUGUGUCUCUUCACAGCGUCCUUGGGAGGCUUGGUGAAUGAAGUCCCAAUAUUCUAUGACUUGAGUUUUAGUGCUUACCUUGUAUGAAUGCCUUAACUUGCAGGAGAAAAGUGAAAAAUAGGACAAUAUCCCUCAAACAUGUACACUCAGCCUCAUUCCCACCACCCAGCUUUAGUGUAAUUCUCAGCCCCUUUGUCCCAUCACACCCUCUACUUCUUUCAUGUCUGUUUUCUCCCUGCCUUCGGUCUAACCAGUGUCCUAAACCCUGCUAUUGUUUUGCUUGAAAAACUCUGAACAAAACCCCUUGAAGGAACAAUGGACUUCAGGGCUGGGGUGGAGAAAAUUCAGGAUGUGGCUUGAUCACCUUUUGAUACCAGAAAGAAAGAAAUUGAUCAAAAAACUAUAGAAGUGUAUCAGAAGAGCAUGGAAGUCAAUGUGAAGAGGUUUCAAUAGGCAAGAUAGGGGCUGGGGAUAUAGCUCAGUGGCACAGCACCUGCCUGGCAAGCCCAAGGUCCUGAGUUUGAUUUCCUGCACACACAAAAAAUGUAGGAGCAGAAAGUGGGCUUGGAGUUACAUAAUAUAUAGUGAGAGUGUCAUGUCAUAAAAAUAAGUAGGUAUCCAUAUCAUGUCCAUAUUGAUCUAAAUAAAUGAUUGAGUAGGUUCUGUUGGGGUUCCUGGCUCUGCAUCCUUUGUACAUACUGCGCUUCUUGUCCUGCUUUCUUAGUGAGUAUUUAUGUGCUUUUGAAGACCAAGCAAGGAGAAGGAUUCCUCUUCUGGAAAGAAUUUCUGGAGUUUUUGAGCACAGUUGGUCUCCUCUUUCUGUCCCCCAUCUCCUGUGUUAUGUGUGCAUUUCUUUUCUGGUUCUCCCUGCACUAUAUUGGAAGGGGUUGGUUAGUCUGUGUCCUUCCACAACCUGUGCAUAUCUGGAGAGAAGCUACCAUGUCUUGGUUAUCCUGCAUCCCUGCAUAUGUCACAGGGCCUGAAAUAGUAGUAUUGUGCACCCCAAAGGCAAAUGUCCUUAUGUUUUGUUCCUAUCUCUAUUCCAGAGUUUAAUAUAGUGCUUGGCAUGGUUUAGAUCAAGACAACAUGUAAUAUGCUUAAUAAACAUUUGUUAUUUGUAAAAAUGAAU
ensembl:lincRNA